AACAGCAAACCUCUCUUCCCAGCCUUCUGCUUUCCAUCUAUCAGGUAGCGACGACAAUUCUGUGCGUGCAGGACCAUAUUCCUGAUACCUGGGUGUACCAUAUCAUGGGUAGUUAGUUAUUGUCAUUGCCAUUGUCAAGUACUUGGGAUAACCCUUCUGGAUAUAUGUGGUUCGCACACUGGCUUAGAGAGAUUUCGGGCCAUCCAACAAUUCUGCUCCAGUUGCGAGUUGGAUUGUUGAUGGGAAUCCUUUGCGACAACGCAGUUCACUAAACAGGGCGGCUAAAGACACCUCAAAAUCGAACAUGAUAGAACAUAGUCAUAGAUGAGAUUGGAUUUCCCAAUUCACGUUGGCAGCCUGUUCCGAGAAUCCAAUUUAAAUAGGCAAAUCAUGCAUAACGCGCUUCACCACA
rnacentral:sRNA from 1 species